rnacentral:rRNA from 1 species
CCUACGGGAGGCAGCAGUGAGGAAUAUUGGUCAAUGGACGAGAGUCUGAACCAGCCAAGUAGCGUGAAGGAUGACUGCCCUACGGGUUGUAAACUUCUUUUAUAAGGGAAUAAAGCGUUCCACGUGUGGCAUUUUGUAUGUACCAUAUGAAUAAGGAUCGGCUAACUCCGUGCCAGCAGCCGCGGUAAUACGGAGGAUCCGAGCGUUAUCCGGAUUUAUUGGGUUUAAAGGGAGCGUAGAUGGAUUGUUAAGUCAGUUGUGAAAGUUUGCGGCUCAACCGUAAAAUUGCAGUUGAGACUGGCAGUCUUGAGUACAGUAGAGGUGGGCGGAAUUCGUGGUGUAGCGGUGAAAUGCUUAGAUAUCACGAAGAACUCCGAUUGCGAAGGCAGUUCACUAGACUGCAACUGACAUUGAGGCUCGAAAGUGUGGGUAUCAAACAGGAUUAGAUACCCGAGUAGUC